rnacentral:rRNA from 1 species
GUGGGGAAUAUUGGGCAAUGGGCGAAAGCCUGACCCAGCAACGCCGCGUGAAGGAAGAAGGUCUUCGGAUCGUAAACUUCUAUCCUUGGUGAAGAUAAUGACGGUAGCCGAGAAGGAAGCCCCGGCUAACUACGUGCCAGCAGCCGCGGUAAUACGUAGGGGGCAAGCGUUGUCCGGAAUGAUUGGGCGUAAAGGGCGCGUAGGCGGCCUGGUAAGUCUGGAGUGAAAGUCCUGCUUUUAAGGUGGGAAUUGCUUUGGAUACUGUCGGGCUUGAGUGCAGGAGAGGUAGGUGGAAUUCCCGGUGUAGCGGUGAAAUGCGUAGAGAUCGGGAGGAACACCAGUGGCGAAGGCGACUUACUAAGCUACAACUGACACUGAAGCACGAAAGCGUGGGGAUCAAACAGGAUUAGAAACCCUGGUAGUCC